rnacentral:rRNA from 1 species
UACGAAGGGGGCUAGCGUUGUUCGGAAUUACUGGGCGUAAAGCGCACGUAGGCGGACUAUUAAGUCAGGGGGUGAAAUCCCGGGGCUCAACCCCGGAACUGCCUUUGAUACUGGUAGUCUCGAGUCCGGAAGAGGUGAGUGGAAUUCCGAGUGUAGAGGUGAAAUUCGUAGAUAUUCGGAGGAACACCAGUGGCGAAGGCGGCUCACUGGUCCGGUACUGACGCUGAGGUGCGAAAGCAUGGGGAGCAAACAGG